rnacentral:rRNA from 1 species
GACGAACGCUGGCGGCGUGCUUAACACAUGCAAGUCGAACGAAGUGGCGAACGGGUGAGUAACGCGUACGCAACCUGCCCUUCAGAGGGGGACAACAGUUAGAAAUGAAUGCUAAUACCGCAUCCGGAAGACGGGGAUUGCGUCUGAUUGGCUAGUUGGUGGGGUACCGGCCCACCAAGGCGAGGAUAAGUAGCCGGUCUGAGAGGGUGAACGGCCACAUUGGGACUGGGACACGGCCCAGACUCCUACGGGAGGCAGCAGUGGGGAAUCUUCCGCAAUGGAGGAAAGUCUGACGGAGCAACGCCGCGUGAGUGAUGACGGCCUUCGGGUUGUAAAGCUCUGUUAAUCGGGACGCGGUACCGGAAUAGAAAGCCACGGCUAACUACGUGCCAGCAGCCGCGGUAAUUC